rnacentral:rRNA from 1 species
GAUGAACGCUAGCGGGAGGCUUAAUACAUGCAAGUCGAGCGGGAUUCUCCUUCGGGAGAUGAGAGCGGCGCACGGGUGAGUAACGCGUACGUAACCUGCCUUACAGAGGGGAAUAGCCCUGGGAAACUGGGAUUAAUACUCCAUAGUAUAUAGAUGGCGCAUGCUGUUUAUAUUAAAGUUGAGGCGCCUAGAGAGAAGCUCGCGGCUGAUUAGCUUGUUGGUAAGGUAAGAGCUUACCAAGGCGACGAUCAGUAUCUGGUUUGAGAGGACGAUCAGACACACUGGAACUGAGACACGGUCCAGACUCCUACGGGAGGCAGCAGUGGGGAAUUUUCCGCAAUGGGCGAAAGCCUGACGGAGCAAUACCGCGUGAGGGAAGAAUGCCUAUGGGUUGUAAACCUCUUUUUUCAGGGAGGAAUAAAAUGACGUGUACCUGAAGAAUAAGCAUCGGCUAACUCCGUG